AUUGAACGCUGGCGGCAGGCCUAACACAUGCAAGUAGAACGAGUGGCGGACGGGUGAGUAAUGUCUGGGAAACUGCCUGAUGGAGGGGGAUAACUACUGGAAACGGUAGCUAAUACCGCCUACCAUCGGAUGUGCCCAGAUGGGAUUAGCUAGUAGGUGGGGUACAGGAUCCGCUAGGCGACGAUCCCUAGCUGGUCUGAGAGGAUGACCAGCCACACUGGAACUGAGACACGGUCCAGACUCCUGCGAGAGGCAGCAGUGGGGAAUAUUGCACAAUGGGCGCAAGCCUGAUGCAGCCAUGACGCGUGUAUGAAGAGGGCCUUCGGGUUGUAAAGUACUUUCAGCGUGGAGGCGUUACCCGCAGAAGAAGCACCGGCUAACUCCGUGCCAGCAGCCGCGGUAAUAC
rnacentral:rRNA from 1 species